UGAAGCGGCAACAGCUCAAAUUUGAAAUCUGGCCCUUGGGUCCGAAUUGUAAUUUGUAGAGGAUGCUUUUGGUUAGGUACCUUCCGAGUUCCCUGGAACGGGACGCCUUAGAGGGUGAGAGCCCCGUACGGUUGGAUACCGAGCCUCUGUAAAGCUCCUUCGACGAGUCGAGUAGUUUGGGAAUGCUGCUCUAAAUGGGAGGUAAAUUUCUUCUAAAGCUAAAUACUGGCCAGAGACCGAUAGCGCACAAGUAGAGUGAUCGAAAGAUGAAAAGUACUUUGAAAAGAGGGUUAAACAGCACGUGAAAUUGUUGAAAGGGAAGCGUUUAUGACCAGACUUUUUCUAGGCGGAUCAUCCGGUGUUCUCACCGGUGCACUUUGUCUAGUUUAGGCCAGCAUCGGUUUCUAUAGGGGGAUAAAAUUAGCAGGAAAUGUGGCUCUYUCGGGAGUGUUAUAGCCUGUUAAAUAAUACCUCUACAGGGACCGAGGUUCGCGCUCUGCAAGGAUGCUGGCGUAAUGGUCAUCAACGACCYGUCUUGAAACACGGACCAAGSAGUCGAACAUUUGUGCGAGUGUUUGGGUGUUAAACCCUCACGCGUAAUGAAAGUGAACGGAGGUGAGAGCCCUUAUGGGUGCAUCAUCGACCGAUCCUGAAGUUUACGGAUGGAUUUGAGUAAGAGCAUAACUGUUCGGACCCGAAAGAUGGUGAACUAUGCGUGGAUAGGGUGAAGCCAGAGGAAACUCUGGUGGAGGCUCGCAGCGGUUCUGACGUGCAAAUCGAUCGUCAAAUCUGCGCAUGGGGGCGAAAGACUAAUCGAACCAUUAAAACCAGCGGUAAAUUUGAUUUACUAGGUGGUUAAGAGGAGUCUCGAGAGAGAUUCAUACCUAGGUUGGGCGGACCUACCCGGAACGACCUACCCUGUAGCGAGUUACCCGGAACGACCUACCCCGUAGCGAGUUACCCGGAACGACCUACCCCGUAGCGAGUUACCCGGAACGACCUACCCCGUAGCGAGUUACCCGGAACGACCUACCCGGAACGGCCUACCCUGUACCGACAUCACUAAAUUGCGGGGACGUCCUUUUAAGCUUUAGGCUACCGUAGGGCACUGAAAAGUGUUUCUACACCAAGAUUAGCGGUCUUGGGUAUGGUAAAAACGCCUGAAAGUUGGGAUCACCUGCAGCCAACCCCGUCCAGGGGAGAGUUCACAGACUAAACAGUGGUGGGUCAGCACUCGUGCUGGCUUAAGAUAUAGUCGACCGAGGCCCUGAAAAGGUGCCUGCAGCUAAAACACAGCGAGCAAGGUUC
rnacentral:rRNA from 1 species